rnacentral:rRNA from 1 species
CGUAGCGCUGCCUAUAAUGCAGUCGAACGCUUUCCCUUUCACCGGAGCUUGCUCCACCGAAAGAAAAAGAGUGGCGAACGGGUGAGUAACACGUGGGUAACCUGCCCAUCAGAAGGGGAUAACACUUGGAAACAGGUGCUAAUACCGUAUAACACUAUUUUCCGCAUGGAAGAAAGUUGAAAGGCGCUUUUGCGUCACUGAUGGAUGGACCCGCGGUGCAUUAGCUAGUUGGUGAGGUAACGGCUCACCAAGGCCACGAUGCAUAGCCGACCUGAGAGGGUGAUCGGCCACACUGGGACUGAGACACGGCCCAGACUCCUACGGGAGGCAGCAGUAGGGAAUCUUCGGCAAUGGACGAAAGUCUGACCGAGCAACGCCGCGUGAGUGAAGAAGGUUUUCGGAUCGUAAAACUCUGUUGUUAGAGAAGAACAAGGAUGAGAGUAGAACGUUCAUCCCUUGACGGUAUCUAACCAGAAAGCCACGGCUAACUACGUGCCAGCAGCCGCGGUAAUACGUAGGUGGCAAGCGUUGUCCGGAUUUAUUGGGCGUAAAGCGAGCGCAGGCGGUUUCUUAAGUCUGAUGUGAAAGCCCCCGGCUCAA